rnacentral:tRNA from 1 species
GCCCGGAUGGCGGAGUGGUUAACGCGCCGGUCUCGAAAACCGGUUUCCUCACGGAUUCCUAGGUUCGAAUCCUAGUCCGGGCG